CAGCAGCCACGGUAAUACAGAGGGUGCAAGCGUUAAUCGGAAUUACUGGGCGUAAAGCGUGCGCAGGCGGUUAUAUAAGACAGAUGUGAAAUCCCCGGGCUCAACCUGGGAACUGCAUUUGUGACUGUAUAGCUAGAGUACGGCAGAGGGGGAUGGAAUUCCGCGUGUAGCAGUGAAAUGCGUAGAUAUGCGGAGGAACACCGAUGGCGAAGGCAAUCCCCUGGGCCUGUACUGACGCUCAUGCACGAAAGCGUGGGGAGCAAACAGGAUUAGAUACCCCCGUAGUCCCUGUCUCUUAUAC
rnacentral:rRNA from 1 species